UGGUAGACCCGGCAAGCUCACUAUUAAACCAAUAAAAGUAUUUAUAAUUUCGAUCGUCAUACAUUUGAAAUUCACAAUAGUGUUGAAAGUAGUUUUUACACAACAAUCUUCGAACAUAAUAUUAUCUAAUGGUGUUAUAGUUUUCACGUCCAUGCUUAUUAUGUCACGGAGAUUUUUUAUUAUGGCGUACAGAAAAAAAAUACUUACCGGUUGUGACACCGGCCUCAGAUUUGUUUUCUGUGACUACUUCGGAUUUAGCGGAGGUGACUUCCGAUCCGGUGACGGUGGAUGACUCGCUGGGGUCGCUUGAAC